rnacentral:rRNA from 1 species
GACGAACGCUGGCGGCGUGCUUAACACAUGCAAGUCGAACGGAAAGGCCUCUUUCGGGGGGUACUCGAGUGGCGAACGGGUGAGUAACACGUGAGUAACCUGCCCUUGACUUUGGGAUAACUUCAGGAAACUGGGGCUAAUACCGGAUAGGAGCUCCUGCUGCAUGGUGGGGGUUGGAAAGUUUCGGCGGUUGGGGAUGGACUCGCGGCUUAUCAGCUUGUUGGUGGGGUAGUGGCUUACCAAGGCUUUUACGGGUAGCCGGCCUGAGAGGGUGACCGGCCACAUUGGGACUGAGAUACGGCCCAGACUCCUACGGGAGGCAGCAGUGGGGAAUAUUGCACAAUGGGUGGAAGCCUGAUGCAGUAACGCCGUGUGCGGGAUGACGGCCUUCGGGUUGUAAACCGCUUUCGCUCAUGACGAAGCUUUGUGUGACGGUAGUGGGUAAAGAAGCACCGGCUAACUACGUG